ACCUGGGUGGUUCAGUGAGUUGAGCAUCUGACUUCAGCUCGGGUCGUGAUCUCAUGGCUCGCGAGUUCGAGCCUCGCAUCAGGUU
rnacentral:tRNA from 1 species